GAGAGAGAAGAGAAAGAGAGAAUCUCAAGCAGACCCUGUGCUGUCAGUGUUGAGCCCAUUGCUAGACUCUUAACUCACCAACCAUGACAUCGUGACCUGAGUCAAAGUCAGACACUCAAUGGACUGAGCCACCCAGGCACCCGAGAACUGGUGUCUUUAUAAGAUGACAAGACACCAGGGGCGUGUGCAAAAAGAAAAGACUAUGUGAGGACACAGCAAGAAAGCAGUCACCUGCAAGCCAAGAGAGGACUCAGGAGAAACCAAAUGUGUCCACACCUUGACCUCAGACUUCCAGCAUCCAGAACUAGAAAAAGUGCUGGCGAUUUGUAGAAGACAUGUGCUACCGGAAACCUGAAAUCUAUUUGAAAUUGACUGGAAACUACUGCCACCUGAUCCCUGAGAUCUGGAAACAGUUAAAGCAGCCAUGAAAGAUACACACGUGGGCUGUGAAAGCAAUACAGAAGUGCAAGUAUCACUGGAAGAAAUGGAACAGCUCUUCAAGGAAUGAGACUAUACAAAGGUCAAUUAUUUGGAAAGCCAUUAGGUUGUUGGGAGUUCCAGUUCAAGAUGGUGACAGAGGAGGAUCCCUGGCUCACCUCUUUCCGCUGACAUACUGAAUCUGAAGCCACAUGUCGAACCACCUCCUGGGACAAAACCUAAGAGCAGACCAACUCUUACCCAACCAGGCUAAAGACAGAACGUCCACAUCGAAGGCGGGAAGAGGGGCUGGGGCACAAACUCGCCCUUAAACCCCAACCCCUGCAAGGUGGUCCAGCUGGGAGGGAGCUGAGCUUCUCCCCAAGUGAGGAGUCUGAACCCCACCGCGGGCACCCACAUGGGAAGAAACCCUCCCCGCGCCCCCUCCCCCACACCAAAGGUCCAGCUUUGCAAAUCAAACGGUCCACAAGACCCACAAGACUAAAAAGCUGAGGAAUGGCUCUUCAAAGGCUCUGACAAGCACUCACCUGCCCC